UACGGCCACGUCACGUUGAAACACCGGCUCCCGUACGAACACCGAAGUUAAGAAACGUUGAACUUGGUCAGUAGCUAGAUGGGUGACCGCUUCGAAAUAACAAGUGCU